rnacentral:tRNA from 1 species
GAUUAAGUGGCUGAAGUUUAGGCGAUAGAUUGUAAAUCUAUUUAUAAGAGUUAUUCUUCUUAAUCAUUAUAAAUUGGUCUUAUAGUCAAUAAUGACAUCAAACUGCAAUUUUGAAGGAGUAAAAUUUUACUAAGGCUUAAAGGAAUACCCCAUAUUUACAGCUUUGAAGGCUAUUAGUUUAAUUAACUUAAAGCCUUUUUAGAAUAUAAAAAAAAAUAAAGAAAUUAGGAAUAAUCCAAAAAUUGAAAAAAAAGUUAUAGUUAAAUAUAAAUUAGUAUUACUACUAUUUAUAUUUAUUUCUAUGACUCAGUUAUUUUCAAAAUAAUUUAGUAUAAAAGCUGAAUAACAAAUUCGUAAAUAAAAAAAUAAUGUAAUUAAAGUUGAUAUUAUCAUUACUGUUAAUAAAAAGUAUUGAUUACAUAAUGUUAAUUGUUGAAUUACAAGUCAUUUUGGUAAAAAUCCUAAAAAUGGAGGUAAUCCACCUAAAGAUAAAAAAUUUAUAAAUAAUGAAAAUUUUAAAAUUUUUCUAUUAACAAAUCAAGAAAAUAAUUGAUUUAAAUGAAAUAAUUUAAAAAUAUUAAAUAUAAAUGUUAAAACAAAAGAUAAAAAUGAAUAAAAUAAAAAAUAAAUUAGUCAAAUAGAUUCUCUAAUUAUUAAAGAUCUUAGUAUUCAUCCCAAAUGAUUAAUAGAAGAAAAAGCUAUUAAUUUUCGCAAUGAAGUUUGAUUUAAUCCACCAAUUGCACCAAUAAUUACUGAUAAAAUUACUCUAAUUAAUAAUAAAUUCUUAAUAUUUAAAUAAGAAAUUAAUAUUAAUGGGGCAAUUUUUUGUCAAGUUAUUAAUAUUAGUGCAUUUAUUCAUGUUAAUCCUUCUAUUAUAUUAGGAAAUCAAAAAUGGAAAGGAGCGGCCCCACUUUUUAAUAGUAAGGCUGAUAUAAUAAUUAUUGAUGUAAAAGAUUCAUUAAUUUCAUUAUUUAUAUUAUUCUUUAAUAUUAAUAAAAUUGAAGAAAAUAAUAAAACAGUUGA